rnacentral:snRNA from 1 species
AUACUCUGGUUUCUCUUCAGAUUGUAUAAACUUUACACUUUUUACUAAAGAUUUCCAUGGAGAGAAACAAUUCUGAGUUUAUACCAAAUUUUUUGAGACUCUGCAUCAAAGGACUA